rnacentral:rRNA from 1 species
CCCUUAGAUGUUCUGGGCUGCACGCGCGCUACACUGAUGCAUCCAACAAGUUUUUUCCUUGUUCGAGAGGACUAGGUAAUCUUAUGAGAAUGCAUCGUGAUGGGGAUAGAUUAUUGCAAUUAUUAAUCCUCGACGAGGAAUUCCUAGUAAGCGCGAGUCAUCAGCUCGUGCUGAUUACGUCCCUGCCCUUUGUACACACCGCCCGUCGCUGCAACUGAUUGGGUGACCUGGUGAACAUCUUGGACCGGCUCACUCAAUUUCGAGAGGACUGGAAAAGGCCGUAAAUCAGGUACAUCUAGAAAUUGCAAAAGUCGUAACA